rnacentral:piRNA from 1 species
AGAAUGGUUUUGGUGCAUUGUGUUC